UAGCUAUCACUCUUGGAUGGACCUGCGGUGCAUUAGCUAGUUGGUAGGGUAACGGUCCUACCAAGGCGAUGAUGCAUAGCCGACGUUGAGAGACUGAUCGGCCACAUUGGGACUGAGACACGGCCCAAACUCCUACGGGAGGCAGCAGUAGGGAAUCUUCCACAAUGGACGCAAGUCUGAUGGAGCAACGCCGCGUGAGUGAAGAAGGGUUUCGGCUCGUAAAGCUCUGUUGUUGGUGAAGAAGGACAGGGGUAGUAACUGACCUUUGUUUUGACGGUAAUCAAUUAGAAAGUCACGGGCUAACUACGUGUCAGCAGCCGCGGUAAAU
rnacentral:rRNA from 1 species